rnacentral:rRNA from 1 species
GGGUUGUGAGGUUAAGCGACUAAGCGUACACGGUGGAUGCCCUGGCAGUCAGAGGCGAUGAAGGACGUGCUAAUCUGCGAUAAGCGUCGGUAAGGUGAUAUGAACCGUUAUAACCGGCGAUUUCCGAAUGGGGAAACCCAGUGUGUUUCGACACACUAUCAUUAACUGAAUCCAUAGGUUAAUGAGGCGAACCGGGGGAACUGAAACAUCUAAGUACCCCGAGGAAAAGAAAUCAACCGAGAUUCCCCCAGUAGCGGCGAGCGAACGGGGAGGAGCCCAGAGCCUGAAUCAGUGUGUGUGUUAGUGGAAGCGUCUGGAAAGGCGCGCGAUACAGGGUGACAGCCCCGUACACAAAAAUGCACAUAUUGUGAGCUCGAUGAGUAGGGCGGGACACGUGGUAUCCUGUCUGAAUAUGGGGGGACCAUCCUCCAAGGCUAAAUACUCCUGACUGACCGAUAGUGAACCAGUACCGUGAGGGAAAGGCGAAAAGAACCCCGGCGAGGGGAGUGAAAAAGAACCUGAAACCGUGUACGUACAAGCAGUGGGAGCCUCUUUUAUGGGGUGACUGCGUACCUUUUGUAUAAUGGGUCAGCGACUUAUAUUCUGUAGCAAGGUUAACCGAAUAGGGGAGCCGAAGGGAAACCGAGUCUUAACUGGGCGUUAAGUUGCAGGGUAUAGACCCGAAACCCGGUGAUCUAGCCAUGGGCAGGUUGAAGGUUGGGUAACACUAACUGGAGGACCGAACCGACUAAUGUUGAAAAAUUAGCGGAUGACUUGUGGCUGGGGGUGAAAGGCCAAUCAAACCGGGAGAUAGCUGGUUCUCCCCGAAAGCUAUUUAGGUAGCGCCUCGUGAAUUCAUCUCCGGGGGUAGAGCACUGUUUCGGCAAGGGGGUCAUCCCGACUUACCAACCCGAUGCAAACUGCGAAUACCGGAGAAUGUUAUCACGGGAGACACACGGCGGGUGCUAACGUCCGUCGUGAAGAGGGAAACAACCCAGACCGCCAGCUAAGGUCCCAAAGUCAUGGUUAAGUGGGAAACGAUGUGGGAAGGCCCAGACAGCCAGGAUGUUGGCUUAGAAGCAGCCAUCAUUUAAAGAAAGCGUAAUAGCUCACUGGUCGAGUCGGCCUGCGCGGAAGAUGUAACGGGGCUAAACCAUGCACCGAAGCUGCGGCAGCGACACUAUGUGUUGUUGGGUAGGGGAGCGUUCUGUAAGCCUGUGAAGGUGUGCUGUGAGGCAUGCUGGAGGUAUCAGAAGUGCGAAUGCUGACAUAAGUAACGAUAAAGCGGGUGAAAAGCCCGCUCGCCGGAAGACCAAGGGUUCCUGUCCAACGUUAAUCGGGGCAGGGUGAGUCGACCCCUAAGGCGAGGCCGAAAGGCGUAGUCGAUGGGAAACAGGUUAAUAUUCCUGUACUUGGUGUUACUGCGAAGGGGGGACGGAGAAGGCUAUGUUGGCCGGGCGACGGUUGUCCCGGUUUAAGCGUGUAGGCUGGUUUUCCAGGCAAAUCCGGAAAAUCAAGGCUGAGGCGUGAUGACGAGGCACUACGGUGCUGAAGCAACAAAUGCCCUGCUUCCAGGAAAAGCCUCUAAGCAUCAGGUAACAUCAAAUCGUACCCCAAACCGACACAGGUGGUCAGGUAGAGAAUACCAAGGCGCUUGAGAGAACUCGGGUGAAGGAACUAGGCAAAAUGGUGCCGUAACUUCGGGAGAAGGCACGCUGAUAUGUAGGUGAAGUCCCUCGCGGAUGGAGCUGAAAUCAGUCGAAGAUACCAGCUGGCUGCAACUGUUUAUUAAAAACACAGCACUGUGCAAACACGAAAGUGGACGUAUACGGUGUGACGCCUGCCCGGUGCCGGAAGGUUAAUUGAUGGGGUUAGCGCAAGCGAAGCUCUUGAUCGAAGCCCCGGUAAACGGCGGCCGUAACUAUAACGGUCCUAAGGUAGCGAAAUUCCUUGUCGGGUAAGUUCCGACCUGCACGAAUGGCGUAAUGAUGGCCAGGCUGUCUCCACCCGAGACUCAGUGAAAUUGAACUCGCUGUGAAGAUGCAGUGUACCCGCGGCAAGACGGAAAGACCCCGUGAACCUUUACUAUAGCUUGACACUGAACAUUGAGCCUUGAUGUGUAGGAUAGGUGGGAGGCUUAGAAGUGUGGACGCCAGUCUGCAUGGAGCCGACCUUGAAAUACCACCCUUUAAUGUUUGAUGUUCUAACGUUGACCCGUGAUCCGGGUUGCGGACAGUGUCUGGUGGGUAGUUUGACUGGGGCGGUCUCCUCCUAAAGAGUAACGGAGGAGCACGAAGGUUGGCUAAUCCUGGUCGGACAUCAGGAGGUUAGUGCAAUGGCAUAAGCCAGCUUGACUGCGAGCGUGACGGCGCGAGCAGGUGCGAAAGCAGGUCAUAGUGAUCCGGUGGUUCUGAAUGGAAGGGCCAUCGCUCAACGGAUAAAAGGUACUCCGGGGAUAACAGGCUGAUACCGCCCAAGAGUUCAUAUCGACGGCGGUGUUUGGCACCUCGAUGUCGGCUCAUCACAUCCUGGGGCUGAAGUAGGUCCCAAGGGUAUGGCUGUUCGCCAUUUAAAGUGGUACGCGAGCUGGGUUUAGAACGUCGUGAGACAGUUCGGUCCCUAUCUGCCGUGGGCGCUGGAGAACUGAGGGGGGCUGCUCCUAGUACGAGAGGACCGGAGUGGACGCAUCACUGGUGUUCGGGUUGUCAUGCCAAUGGCACUGCCCGGUAGCUAAAUGCGGAAGAGAUAAGUGCUGAAAGCAUCUAAGCACGAAACUUGCCCCGAGAUGAGUUCUCCCUGACCCUUUAAGGGUCCUGAAGGAACGUUGAAGACGACGACGUUGAUAGGCCGGGUGUGUAAGCGCAGCGAUGCGUUGAGCUAACCGGUACUAAUGAACCGUGAGGCUUAACCUUACAACGCCGAAGCUGUU